AUUCUACUCCCUCCGUUGCACAAUACAUGCCUUCUAUUUGUCAAAAUAUAUAUGUAUCUAGACAUGUUUUAGUAUAUAGGUACAUCCAUUUUCGGACAAAUGGAAGUCAAGUAUUUUGGAACGGAGGGAGUACACA
rfam:Triticum aestivum genome assembly, contig: Triticum_aestivum_CS42_TGACv1_scaffold_514704_6BS